GGACCCGCACAAGUAGUGGAGCAUGUGGUUUAAUUCGAUGCAACGCGAAGAACCUUACCAGGGUUUGACAUAGUACGAAGUUUUUUGAAAAAAAACCACCUUCGGGAACGUACAUACAGGUGGUGCAUGGCUGUCGUCAGCUCGUGUCGUGAGAUGUUGGGUUAAGUCCCGCAACGAGCGUAACCCUUGUUUUAGUUGCCUUUCGAGGAUAUUUAGAAAGACUGCCGAUUAUAAAUCGGAGGAAGGUAAGGACGACGUCAAGUCAUCAUGCCCCUUACACUCUGGGCUACACACGUGCUACAUUGGGUAGAACAAUAAGUUGCUAAGUUGCGAAACCAAGCGAAUCUUCAAAUCUACUCUAAGUUCGGAUUGUAGGCUGCAACUCGCCUACAUAAAGAUGGAAUC
rnacentral:rRNA from 1 species